ensembl:lncRNA
CACACACACCCCCGCCAGGCCGGUAGCCUAGGGUCCCGCCGCCCCCGAGCGCUGGGGGCCAGCGCAGUCCCCGGGGCCGCAGCGCGCACGCCCAGGCCUGGCUGGAGGGCUCCGCCCCCACGUAGGGUCAGUGCGGGGACGAGGUCCUGGGACAGUCAUUGCCCUGGAAUGACUCCGCCGCCGUGGCGGGUGAUGGGCGGUGGGGGGAGUGGGGUCGCCAGGGACGGGGAGGGAGGGGGGAGAGAGGGAGGGCGCGUGCUGCCGAAGCCCCGCCCCGUCGCCAGAUGCGGGAGCAGCAGGUGGGAGCUGAUUGGCGGUCACCGAGGCGGAAUGAAUGGGGUGACCGCGGGAGCUUGGUGCGGCGCGGAAAUCUCGGUGGGACGAAGCUAUGAAAGCGCGCUUGGCUGUUUGACAUCAAGAAGGCCACUGAACUUAUAUGAUCGGUCAGUUCCUAUCUGUAAAGUGGUGAUAUACCCGCAGUACCUACCUCAAACAACACGCAUUUAUAAUUAAGCAUAAAACGACGAACUUGGAGUCUGGAAGAUCUGAAUUAAAAUCCCGCCUGAGGAACCCCCCACCCCUCCCCAACUGUGUGACCUUGGGCAAGUCGCUUAACCUUCCACCCUCAGCUUCCUCAUCUGUAAACUAAAGAAGUUCAGUAUGAAAGGCUUAUUAACCUUGUGUAGGUGUCAUGGACCCCUUUGAAAAUCUGAUGAAACCUAACCACUCUCAUAAAAUCAAGUACAUAGGAUUUCAAAAGAAAUCAAAUCUAUUCAAAUUCACUUAUGGUAAGGAGUCUUAUGCUAGGCCCUGGAGUUGAAAAGACAAGUAAGUCUUCACUCCCGAAGAGUUUUGCAUUUUCCUGGGAAGGAUAUGACACAUGCACGGGGUGUGAUUAUCUUUGUAUAUGGUGUGAACCGCUGAUUUAUACCUAGUUUAUGCCAUAAUAAUUUACAGUUUUAUGAAUAGUUUUGGCUAAACAGAGUACCCCAAUAGCUGGGAUCUUUGAGUUUAUCAAACAUUAGGUUUACUGUGCCCAUUUUCUUCUGUAUGUUGUGCGCCUAAUUCCACUGAUCAGUCCCUCCAGUACAAAAUUGUUUUAAUGAUUACAGCUUUGUUGUAUAAUCUGAGGUCUGGUAGUACUAGGCCCUCUUCCCAUUUUUUUUAAUUGAUAUUUUUGACCUUUUGUCCUGUAGAUGAAUUUUGUUAUUUGGUAGUUUGAUAGACACAGCAUUAGUAUAUUGUAUAGUAUAAUGUAAAGUAAAUACAAAGUAAAUACAAAGUAACAAUUCCAGAGGCACUAAGAAUUGGAAGUCAGGAAGGGUUUCAAUGGCAGACUCCUGGAACUGCCCUUAAGGAGUUCCAAGAGCUAGGGAUUCUAACCUCACCAGGUUAUCAUCAGGAUCAAAGAAGAUAAUUUAUGUAAAUCAAUUGACAGACUUAUACAAAUAUGAACUAUUAUUAGAGCCCUUCCUUGUUCUGAAAUUAGGAGUGUCCCAGAAAAUCACAAAUGAAUCAUUGCCAUAACCAGGGCCCCAAACUGUCAAUUACGAGAUGGGUCAACCUUCUUGAGAGUUUUUUAAAAUUCAGUUUUCAGUUCCAAAUUCUGCACACACACCCAAGCAUUGAGAAGGCUAAGAAGAACAAAAUCCAUUACAAAUAUGUAUAGUUAUGCAAAACAAAUUCUCAUAUUAGUCAUGUCCCAAAAAAGUGGGGGGAAAAGAAAAAAGAAAAUAUGCUUCAAUUUGUAUAGAGUCCAUCAGUGCUCUAUUUGGUUUUGGAUUUUUUGUUUUUGGCUAGGCAGUGGGGUUAAGUGACUUGCCCAGGGUCAAACAGGUAGUAAGUGUCAAGUAUCUGAGGUCAUAUUUGAACUCAGGUCCUCCUGACUCAAGGGCAGGUGCUCUGUGCACAGUGCCACCUACCUGCCCAUCAGUGCUCUAUUUGGAGGUAGAUAUCGUAAGUCCUUAAGAACUGUAGCUGGUCAUUAUGUUGAUCAGAGUAAGUCUUUCAAAAUUGAUUAUCUUUACAAUAUUGCUGUUGUAUAAAUUGUUCUCCUGAUUCUGUGCACUUCAUUUUACAUCUAUUCAUAUAAGUCUUCCCAGGUUUUUCAGAGGCAGCUAGGUAGAACAGUGGAGAGAGUACUGGGGCCCUUGAUUCAAGAAGGCCUAAGUUCAAAUGUGACAUCACGCACAAGCUGUGUGACUCUGGAUGAGUUAUUUAACCUUGGUUUGCUACAGUUUCCUCAACUGUAAAAUAGGGAUAAUAGCACCUACUUUGAUGUUUGUAAAGCUUUUUAAGCACAAUGCUUAGCACAAAGUAGACCAUAUAUAAAUGCUUAUUGGCUUCCUUCCCCCUUUCUGAAAUCAUCCCUUUCAUUAUUUCUUAAAGCAAACUAGUAUUCCAUCACAUACAUGUACCAUAAUGUAUUCAUCUAGUCCCCAACUGCCAGGCACCCCUCUUAGUUUGCCCAGGAAAAGAGAUGCUAUAAAUAUUUUUGUACAUAUGGGUCUUCUUUCUUUGAUCUCUUUGGGGCAUAGACCUAGUAGAGGUAUUGCUGGGUCAAACUGGGUGCACUGUUUAGUAAGGUUUUUAAGCCUAGUUAUACAUUGCUUCCCAGAAUGGUUGAACUAGUUCACAGUGCAUAAAUGUACUUGUUUUCCCAGUGUCCCCAGCAUUUGUCAUUUCCCUUUUGUUAUCUAAUUUGUUGUGAUAUCACCUAUUUAUAUCUAUAUCAUAUAACCAUUUUGAAUUUAUCUUUGUGUAUGGGGUGAGAUGUUAAUCUAUAGCCGGUUCUGCACCCCUGAUCUGUAUCUAGUUUCUGCCAGAAUAAUUUACAGUUUUCCCAAUAGUUUUAGUCACCUACUGAGUUUUUGCCUCAAAAAAGCUGGGAUCUUUGGGUUUAUCAAACAUUAGAUUAUUGUGCUCAUUUUCUUCUGUAUAUUGUAUGUAUUUCACCAAUCAAUCUCUCAAUUUCUUAUACAAUACUAAAUUGUUUUGCUGAUUAUAGCUUUGCAGUAUAGUUUGAGAUCUAGUACUGAUAGGCCCCCUUCCUUCCCUUUUUUUUUUCAGAUUCCCUUGAUAUUUUUGACCUUUUGUUCCUCUAGAUGAUUUUGCUAUUUUUCCUAGCUCUAUAAAAAUAAUUCUUUGGUUUGUCAUUUUUACAAUAUUGGCUCAGCCUACUCAUGAGCAAUCAAUAUUUAUGCAAUUAUUUAGAUCUUCCAUUAUUUGUAUGAAGAGUGUAAUUGUGUUCAUAUAGUUUCUAUGAUUGUCUUGGCAGGUAGACUCCCAAGUAUUUAUAAGGUUCAUAAUUAUUCUAAAUGGAAUUUCCCUUUUUCUAUCACUUUCUGCUGGAUUUUGUAGGUAUUAUGCACAAAUUCUGAUAAUUUGUGUAAUUUUAUUUUAUAUGCUGUAACUUUGCUGAUGUUAAUUGUUUUGGUUUUUCAGUUGAUUCUCUGGGGUUCUCUAAGCCAGGGGUAUCAAACAUGCAAUCCAAAGGCAGCAUGCUUCCCACAACAGUCCUGAGUGUGAUAUGAACCAGAUUAAAAUGUAAUUGGGGAAUAUUUAAUAAAAUAAACAGAUAAGAUAAUAAAAAGAUAAGG